AACCUUUAUGUGCCAUAACACAGCAACUGCUGACCGGUUCUAUGCGCUUGUCAUGGACCGCAGCCAGGCGAGGGAAUUGAGGGGAACAUUUGAGGAGGUGACAGCCUCCUCCUCACAUGCCACCAGCAAGGGGGGGCACCGAGCGCUGCAGCAACGGUACCGGAAGGCGGCCGACACCUCAAGCGGGCACAGUGGUGAAUCGGCUGCAGGGCAGGAGGAGCCCACCGCCAAGCGGCAACAGCCUGAGAGUCAGGCAGAGGAGGAAGAGGACCAGCAAGUUAUACCCAAGGGAUUAAAAAAAAUUGGUGGUCAUGAUAAGCCCCCUGCAACGGGCAAAAGAAAAAAGGAGAAAAAUGCCAUAAAGGAAGAGAUGAACAUUUAAUAUUCAUCUCUUCCUUUUUGUAUUGUGUUUAUUUUAUAUAUAUUUGUUUAAAUGUGUGUUUUCAAUAAAUGUAAAAUAUAUCA